UACGAAGGGGGCCAGCGUUGUUCGGAAUUACUGGGCGUAAAGCGCACGUAGGCGGGUUGUUAAGUCAGGGGUGAAAUCCUGGAGCUCAACUCCAGAACUGCCUUUGAUACUGGCAACCUAGAGACUGGAAGAGGUUAGUGGAAUUCCCAGUGUAGAGGUGAAAUUCGUAGAUAUUGGGAAGAACACCAGUGGCGAAGGCGGCUAACUGGUCCAGCACUGACGCUGAGGUGCGAAAGCGUGGGGAGCAAACAGG
rnacentral:rRNA from 1 species